rnacentral:sRNA from 1 species
AUGUACCGCUCGUACACUGCGGUUCUGAGCGCGCCGUGCGCACCUACUUGACGACUGCUCGCUACGUUUUGUUAGCC